UGUUUAAUUACAGUAAAGCAUUAUGAAGGCCCACAAUGGAUGUUGAAGCAAUGUGAUUUCUGCCCAGUGCUCUGAAUGGUUAAGUGAAGAAAUUUAAUGAAGCAUGGAUAAAUGGCAGAAGUAACUAUAACUUUCAUGACAGAGGCAGCUUCUGAAGAGGUGA
rnacentral:ncRNA from 1 species